CAUCCCGUCCGCAUCUCUUCAGUUGUUGGAUCGAGCAAGCGCUCGUCUGACGUCGGCUUUCCUGUGCUGAAUACCUAUCGCGAGGGCAUUAUGUCGGCUACCAUCGUCCCAUUCCCGUCCCGUGCUGCUGCCCCUCGUGGGCGGGCGGUGCGGGGUGGGCCAAACAGCGCGCGUCGUGUCUCGCGCCCCGUUUGCCCGUGAAACGGCUUUCGGGUCGAUGAACCACGACGUGUCGCUCGGUCUCUCGGGUACGGAACAUCGUGUGGGUACGGGGCCCUCGGCCUCGGAGCACCACAAACAAGCGUUCUACGCUUCGUGCGAACGACCGUUGGCCCGGUCUCCUGUUGCACCCUUUGGGGUC
rnacentral:misc_RNA from 1 species